rnacentral:ncRNA from 1 species
ACCUCCGGCCACUCCACUUUUCUGGUCGGCGGGACGUGAAAAAAGGAGGAUAAAACCCGCUUGCUCGCGGUGCGGCAGCGUGGAGACCUGUCGUAAAGCACGAGGCACAACCCGUGCGAGGGCACAUCCGGCGGAGGCCAUGUGUCCGGAGCAAAUUAUAUGGC